CUGCUUUUCCAUCCUAGCAACCACCCUCUGGAGCUCUUAUUUGUGCUUUGAAUCCAUCACUCUGCUGCUGUGAUGUGUCGCUUUCACUGGAAGCACUUGAGGUGCCUUUUCCUGGCAGGUUAGGCAGCAGCCAAGCGGAGAGAACAAGGUGGCCUUAAUGGUUGGCUUAAUGGUGUGUUAAGUGUUCAUUUCUGCUGAAUUGAACACAGGCUUUGUAAGUGUCUAGCUUCAUUGGGUUGCUGUCAACCAACAUGCAUAGAGUACUACAUUUUGAAGAAAUGUGUGCUUUGAGUGGAGCAGAGUAUGAGGAAAAUAUCCAGAAGGAUGUUGUGAGGUGAUCCUGGUAAUGGCGAUUUACGCAGAGAUCUGCAUGAGUUAUCACUUCCUCUUCUGAUGAGGAAGGUGGGAUUCUUCUCACCUGGUUUCAAAGACUGACGUCUCGUUUUCAAAAUGCUGAGAUGGAAAAUAUGAAAGAGCAUGCAUUUUAAUAAUAACCACACUUUCUCAUGCACAUGUGUGAUUUUUCUUUUUUACUUUAUAUUUCAGAUAGCAGUAGAAACUGUUUCUACUUCCAUUAUUUGUACAAUCUAUUGAAGCUUGGUGGGUGGAAACUCUUAACAGGGAGAUAAGAGCAGAAAUCAACUUCACAACCAACAUCAGAUCUCAUGUAGAUUAUAACUUCAACUCUUAAUAGAAGGCCACUGG
rnacentral:lncRNA from 1 species